UCCCCACAGCUAGCACUUCUACUCUC
rnacentral:piRNA from 1 species